rnacentral:rRNA from 1 species
AGUGAACGCUGGCGGUAGGCCUAACACAUGCAAGUCGAACGGCAGCACAGGAGAGCUUGCUCUCUGGGUGGCGAGUGGCGGACGGGUGAGGAAUACAUCGGAAUCUACUCUGUCGUGGGGGAUAACGUAGGGAAACUUACGCUAAUACCGCAUACGACCUACGGGUGAAAGCAGGGGACCUUCGGGCCUUGCGCGAUUGAAUGAGCCGAUGACGGAUUAGCUAGGUGGCGGGGUAAAGGCCCACCAAGGCGACGAUCCGUGGCUGGUCUGAGAGGAUGAUCAGCCACACUGGAACUGAGACACGGUCCAGACUCCUACGGGAGGCAGCAGUGGGGAAUAUUGGACAAUGGGCGCAAGCCUGAUCCAGCCAUACCGCGUGGGUGAAGAAGGCCUUCGGGUUGUAAAGCCCUUUUGUUGGGGAAAGAAAUCCAGCUGGCUAAUACCCGGUUGGGAUGACGGUACCCAAAGAAUAAGCACCGGCUAACUUCGUGCCAGCCGCCGCUGUAA